GUUAUCAUUGGUGUCAAGCACGCGAACAAUGAUGCUGGCUGUGCCGGAGUGCGUAGGUAAUCCGCCAUCAACAGCGAUUGGGCGUCUUCUCUAGCCAAGGCUGCGAAUCCUCUGGUGGAAUGAAUAUGCUUCAGCAAAGACAAGUCUGGAACCUGCCUGGACCAUUCAGCCAACACAACAUCCAUAUUCACAAACUUCUUGACUCACCCAAAAUGUUUAACAUUUAUGUUUUAUCCCUUAAUAUGUACUAAUAUUAGCCAAAGGCUAUAUGAUUAUUUUACUGUUGAAAUCAGGUGUGCCAGUUUAGUGUUAAAACCAGUGAGUGAAUAAAGAAUACAUCUGGGCAACCUGUAAAAGGCAGUCUAAACAAUUUCAGCUGCAUCAGAAACCAUAGAAGUAAUCACAAAUUGGACUGUGUUAGAAAAUGAAAUAAAUUUGAAAUCAUUUUUGUUAUUAAUUACAAAAAUAAUCCAGAACAUAUUUGAUUGCAUAAUUAGUAAAUUAUUAAAAUUAUUGAAUGAGAUCUGAGGCAACUAAGUUUGUGUAGAAGUCAUUAAAUGAAUGUGCAGUCAAGGUGUUUGACAUUAUUUCAGGUUCAACACUCCGGUCAUGUCCCACAGUCAUUAUUUUCAAACAGUUUGUUGUUUUUAUUUUUCACCUUACUUUAAGUUAAUCAGUGGCAAUUAAUACCAUUUGGAUUUUAUGUUGUAACAAAACAUUAUGUGAAAAAGUCCAACGAGGUGAAUAACUUUAAGAGCCAAUGUAAUGAACUGACCACAGAGACUACAUACUGAGGGGAGAUCCUUGGCUUCUGUUUAUGUUAAUAUCCUUUGUUGUGUGAUCUUUCCUUUCAUUAUGUUGAACACAUCAAGAUAACUGAGUACUUUACUUCAUUAAAUGUUUCUUUUCAAAUCUAAA